rnacentral:rRNA from 1 species
UACGUAGGGUGCAAGCGUUGUCCGGAAUUAUUGGGCGUAAAGAGCUCGUAGGCGGUCUGUCGCGUCGGCUGUGAAAACCUGGGGCUCAACCCCGGGCCUGCAGUCGAUACGGGCAGACUAGAGUGCGGUAGGGGAGACUGGAAUUCCUGGUGUAGCGGUGAAAUGCGCAGAUAUCAGGAGGAACACCGGUGGCGAAGGCGGGUCUCUGGACCGAUACUGACGCUGGAGGCGCGAAAGCGUGGGGAGCAAACAGG